UACGUAGGGUGCGAGCGUUGUCCGGAAUUACUGGGCGUAAAGAGCUCGUAGGUGGUUUGUCGCGUUGUUCGUGAAAACUCACAGCUCAACUGUGGGCGUGCGGGCGAUACGGGCAGACUGGAGUACUGCAGGGGGAGACUGGAAUUCCUGGUGUAGCGGUGGAAUGCGCAGAUAUCAGGAGGAACACCGGUGGCGAAGGCGGGUCUCUGGGACGUGACUGACGCUGAGACGCGAAAGCGUGGGGAGCAAACAGG
rnacentral:rRNA from 1 species